AACCGCACAUAGUCAGCUAGAUAACCCGGAGCUCUUCUCCCUCUGCUUGUUUUGGGAAUUUCCUCUGGACUUUCUGUUCUUAUUCCUUCAGCUUCCACGUUUCGCCAUGGACGCACCUUCUUCGUUUGAGUGACAUGUCGUCUAAGCAGAUUACCAUCUUUGUCAUUUAAAAAAAUAUCUCAAGUUUUGCCAUUCAAUGAUAUUAAUGCACCAGUUCAUUCAAUAUCAACAUCGUUCUCGGACACUCUCAUACUGUUAUAGAAGUUUAUUCACCUAACCAGUUUUGUCUUUCUAUAUAUGCGAUUGAUUUGCAAACAAUAAUCUACAUUCAUUCAUCAUGUCCGAUUGGAGAACAGGAUUCCUGUGUUUGAUGGCCCGUCCGCGGGAACCGCUCUGCCUCCCAGAGUGCGAGAGGAAGAAUUUGUGGUGGAGCAGUCACAACGAAUGGCCAUUGAUAUUCCGUUGAAUUAUACGGCUUCACAGGCGGAUGUAGAACAACGAAUGGCUUACUUCCGGGAAUAUAUCGGGGUGAAUCUUAAACCUGUUCCGGAGCCCUACUUCCCUAAAAUUUUGAACAGUGCCACAAACAAGACCUAUGCAUCGAGGAAUAGAAAUACAUCGCUAAGCGUAAGGAUUUCGAUAUUUUUGAUGAAAAAUGUUCUAUAAAAAAAUUGAUUACUGCACGUAAAUAGACCAGCUGAUGCAGUUGAAACAAUUUUGGAAAUUGAAAAUUGAUUUAUGGAUGCAGUCCAAUCACGAACAGUAGUUGAGCCGGAUGGUGAGCGCCUCCCUCUCGAAGAUAGUAACGGUAUAAACAUCCUCGGAAAUCUAAUGGAAAAUCUAGUCUACUCUAUUCUAUCUGUGAAUAUACCAUACUAUGGAAAUAUCCAUUCGAUGUUGCAUAAUUUGUUAGGAUUCGCUCAUGAUCCAGACAUUUUGUACCUGGAAGGACCUGGGGGGAUCGGUGAAUUAUCGACAUCGAUUCGUGAUCCCAUUUUCUAUCGACUACAUCAGUUUAUCGAUGAUCUAUUCGAGCAAUACAAAAAAGGGCUUACACUCGAUACUAAGCAAGAACUGGGAUUCCCUGGUGUAACAAUUGGAGACGUUUCGGUGCAAGUUACCAAUGGGAGAGUGGCAGUGAAUCGUCGGCUCACGUCUGAUAGGUUCAUCGAUAAGACGAUUGUUCAGAUGGAAGAUUUCGUGAGAGCAUUUCCCAACAUGAAGCGAACGUCAUCCGUGGGGAAUAUUUUUAACAAUAUGUAUUAGGAACGGUACUCCUGGAUUUGGAUUCAAAUUAAAUUAAGAAAGACAAGAGGUGCAAGAUUGCGUAACUAAAAAUGAGUGGGUUAUAUCUAUGAUAUAACCGCAAGGUUGACGUGGAACUACCUUAGCUUAGCAAUCAUUCGUUUGUAUUGAUUAAAUUCUUGAUUGAAUGAAACAGUUUCCAAAUUCAAUUGAGUUCAAUAUAUUUGCUUUGUGAGCGAAAAAAAUGAACAAAUGCCGUGUAAAGUCAAUUCAUUUAUUGUGAUUGAUUGUUCUUCGUUACAAGUAAAUUUAAUGACGGACCUUUUACGUUUGGUAUGAUGACUAGAACAAAAUAUAUGUACGGAAGAAUUAUCAAACGUUUGAUGAACCAGCCUAAGGCUGAAA